CCUGUCCAACAAUGAAUAAAAAUACUACUAACUGUUAGAAUAUAAUGAUCCUCGUAAAAAGCUUUUCCCUAACACCUCGUAAAAGCUACCUGAUUACCUCAAACUCUUUUGAAGGGCAGGAAGGACUCGGUCACCAUAAUUAUCAUGCAACCAGAGCUUUGAGGUAAUAAAAAGCUCAUCGCGAGACUUGAUUAGGCCACGACUAAUAGCUUGAGCUAUUGCUUCACCAAGAGCUUCCUCUGUUUGGUAAAAAGCAGCGGUAUCAAACAUCCUGUAACCAAGCUCAAUUGCGUCAAGCACAGCUUUCUUCGUAUUAGUUAUAACUUCUGGUGUCGGAUCAGAAGCUCCUAAUCCAAGUCCUAGAACUGGCAUAGGUUUUGCAUUUCCGGAGCUCAAACAAAUUUCUGGAAUAGCCAUCUUUUACUUAUAAUUUCUGGACAACUUAGUAUGUACUUAGAGUUUCUUUGAUUGCAUUAAAAGAUCAACAGAACUAUAUAUAAACAUGUGCAUGUGAUUAAUAUAAUCCACUGCAACAUUUCUUAGUUGAAUGAGGAACCUGAUCGGAAGGAGAGUAGUAUCUUCAGGGACUUCUUGGACGUCAUGGAUGAUGCUUUUAUGGUACUCCACAUUUUCUUUGUGAUUUUUCCAAGAAAUUGUUCAUUGGAUUUGAGAUAUAUUAAUAAACUUAUAGAUUGUUUAAAAUAAGAAAAUCAAGCAUGCAUGCAGGGGAAUCAAUGAAAGAAACCUUUGAUAAAUCAGUGAUUUUGACCUGACAAUAAUUUUCAAUUUUUCCAAGAGGCCAGGACAAAUUGAUUUGUGAUACUUGUGUUGACGAUAUAAAGUAACAUUGAAAUAUUAUAGACUUGAGAACACGAUGAAGAAGAUAAUUUUAAAAAUCAAUAUAAUUGAAAUUUAAUAAUCCGAACAAUAAUAAAAAAUAUUACUGCAGAGUCUUUUUAAGGGCAGGGAUGACACGAUCGCCAUGGUUAUCAGUGCACCAGAUUUUAGAGCUGAGAAAGACAUCAUCGCGGGAAUUUAUUAAACCAAGACUAACUGCUUGAGUUAUAGCUUCACCAAGAGCUUCCUCUGUUUCAUAAGCGGAAGCAGUAUCAAACAUCCUGUAACCAAGCUCAAUUGCUUCAAGCACAGCUUUUACGACUUCCUCUGGCUUAAGAUGGGGAUAUCCACCCGUGCCUAGUCCCAAAACAGGCAUAGCUUUUGCAUUUCCGGAGCUCAGAGCAACCUCUGGAACACUUUUCAGAGCCAUCUUUUAAUCAGUAUCACCUGAUAGCCAACUUAAGUUUUGUUCUUACAAGAUCAGGUAGGUGUGUAGAAAUUAUGAUACCUUUGAUGUCACACACACAUCUAUAUCAAAGAAAAACUCAUAUUUAGGUUGAAAAUUUGGACUUGAUUUUGGCUUCUAUUGGUCAGCAUUGUGAAUGAAGUAGUUGGCUGUUUAUAGAAUAAAAGGCCUAAAUAUCUGUUUGAUUUGAUACAGGAAAAAAUUCAGAAAAAAGGAAAACAGCACCAAAAAGUCUGAAGACGUAAAAAAAUUGGCCCUGCCUGAUAAUGGAUAGAGGCUAAAUCUAAGUUCAGAUAUUAUUACUUGAAUUUGUUGAAGAGUAUAAGUUCAUGUUGGGGUUUAGCCUCUGGCACCUCAUGGUUUUAGAUUGACUGGUUACUUAAUAUAAUAUCAAAGACCGGUUUGAAUUGUUUACGGUCUGCAAUUUUAUGAUUACGGGGAAGUAUCGCUUAACAGAAUUCAAAUGUUUUAAACACAGAAGUCAGAACUGUAUCCUAAAUCUUCUACGGAUCAGUUCUGUCAUGUUUACGUGUACAAGAAGGUUGCCACUAGCAAGCAUAUGCUGCAAAUAUUUGGAAUGGAGCUUUAGGUAAGAGGCUCGGCCCUCAGGAGUCCAGUCUAAGGUUUCUGGACAGUUAUACACAGAGGACUUUAGGAAUGGAGCUUUAGGUAAGAGGCUCAGCCCUCAAAUAUGAUUGUGAAUAAUCACUUGGUAAGCAUUGUGUGAUUGAAAGUGUCUGUAUUGUUACCAGAAAAGUCAGGAAUGAGGCUGAGUUCAGCAACUACAGAUUACGGAAGGAAAAUACAAAAUACAUUAUGACUAGAAAAAACAAGAUUGACAGAUUGGCAGAAGUGCCUUAUUUCAGAUGGUUCACCUUUACUAUUAUAGUAUUAUAUUUAUGACAUAAUUAUCUUUAAAGUUCUCCAUCCCAGAGCUCCUCGAGUGUCUUGAAUGGGCCAGUUUCAGAGACAACGAACUCUGCAAGGUUUGCCCUCUUUUGCGGCAUUGCAGCAAUCUUCUUGGACUCUUCAUCGCUCAACUCCCACCCAAAAAUUUCAAGAUUCUGCUUUAGUCUCUCUUUGUUGAAGCUCUUCAUCACAAUAACAAUCCCUUGCUCAUAAGCCCAUCUCAAGGCAAUCUGGGCUACAGACUUACCUUUCGACUUUGCAAUUUCCAUCAGAACCUCGGAUUCCAACACUCCUUUCGUCCCCCAAAAAGCUCCUGCUGCUCCUAGAGGAGAAUAAGCAGCAACCUUGAUUCCAUUUGCCUGACAGAAGGCCCUCAAUUUCCCCUGCUGCCAUGCUGGAUUCAAUUCCACCUUCGUACAUGAACAGAUUAUUAAAUAUUUUUUCGAUGUUAAUAGAGUAGUAGUUUACUACUAUUAAUUUCUAGUUUGCGAAUGCAAGCUUACUUGAUUGAUUGCAGGAGGAAUCUUGGCAAAAGCCAAAAUAUCCGCAAGCUUCUUGCAACUGAAAUUACUGACACCGAUUGAUUUUGUAAGGCCGAGACUUUGGCACUCUUCCAUUGCUGUCCAAACAGCUUUGAAGUCCAUUGCAGCAAAAUUCUCAGGGUUUAGUUGAAAAGGGUUUGAUCCAGCCUUCAUGCUCACCGGAAAAUGUAUAAGAUACUGAUCAAGAUAGUCCAACUUCAUAUCCCUGUCCAACAAUGAAUAAAAAUACUACUAACUGUUAGAAUAUAAUGAUCCUCGUAAAAAGCUUUUCCCUAACACCUCGUAAAAGCUACCUGAUUACCUCAAACUCUUUUGAAGGGCAGGAAGGACUCGAUCACCGUAAUUAUCAUGCAACCAGAGCUUUGAGGUAAUAAAAAGCUCAUCGCGAGACUUGAUUAGGCCACGACUAAUAGCUUGAGCUAUUGCUUCACCAAGAGCUUCCUCUGUUUGGUAAAAAGCAGCAGUAUCAAACAUCCUGUAACCAAGCUCAAUCGCGUCAAGCACAGCAUUAGUUAUAAUUUCUGGUGUAGGAUCAACAGCUCCUAAUCCCAGUCCCAGAACUGGCAUAGGUUUAGCAUUUCCGGAGCUCAAACAAAUUUCUGGAAUAGCCAUCUUUUACUUAAAAUUUCUGACAAUUUAGUAUGUACUCAGAGUUUCUUUGAUUGCAUUAGAAGAUCAACAGAACUAUAUAUAAUCAUGUACAUGUGAUUCAUAUUGACUGCAUCAUUUCUUAGUUGGUGGCCAGGGACUUCUUAGACGUCAUGGAUGAUGCUUUUAUUUGUACUUCCUUUGUCCCGCUUUUUGAAAAAAUACAAAUUUUUAUGAUGUGCGGCUUAAUUAUUAUAGUUACUUUUUUUGACAAAUGCAAGAAAAUUUAAUUAACUUGAAUAUAAUACAGUCGGGACAAACCCCCAACUGUCGAUACAACCAGGUGGUAAAACAAAUAACAUGCUAAAAACAAUUAGAUGAUUUGUUUCCUAAUCGUUUAACAGAUAGAAUUCAGAUUUUUUGAAGCAAAAAUGAAAUCAAAGACAUCCCAAGCGAUCCAAAUUGCACCAAAAUCUGUGGAAACAGUAACGUCGCAAUUGACCAUAUCACAUAAAAACUAUUGUUAGCCCAAUGUUCAGAAACACCAAUCGCAUAAAUCGAGAUUGGAGAAGUGGCACCACAGCUAUCUACAUGCCGGAUACCAGCUAUAGACUUGCCGAAGGCACCCCAGCUAUCUACAUGCCGGAUACCAGCUAUAGACAUGCCGAAAGUGUAAACCCGUGAAUGAUGAACAAUCUUUGAUUGUGAAAGGUGAGCUCUUGCAAUAAUCACCACCGUCCCAGAUUCGAUACAGUUUUUGUAGAUCACCAAAAAUAUCAAGAAACUCAUUUUCAACAGAUCCAAUACGAAAUAAACCCAAUCAUGACUAAAGAAAAACAUAACAAACACUCCAAAAGGAGAAACAAACCACACACUCCAAGAGGAGAGACACACAAACACCCUAAUGGAGGUGGAAGAGAGGAGGGAGGCGGCUGGAACGAGAUAAUUAUUAUAAUUAAAUAAAAAGUAAGUUUUGAUCGGGAAAAGAGGAGUAUGAACUUGCAGAUUACUAUUCAAAAUAAGAAAAUCAAGCAUGCAUGGGAAUCAAUGAAACAAAUCUUUGAUAAGUCAAUGAUUUUGACCUCAUAAUAAUUUUCUCUUUUUCUAAGAGGUGAGGGACAAAUUGAUUUGUAGAAAGUCUGAGGUAAAUACCUGAGAUGGUUCCCAGUUGCAUCAAACAAAGAGGCCAACAUGCAACAUAGGAUCUUCUGAAUUCAAACAAACAUUAUCCUCAAACUAGGUUCCUUAGGCCAAACCAAACGUAGAUCAUGUCCCUAUUCUAAAAGAGGAGGGAGACUGUUUUCAUGAAGACCCUCGAUUUAAUGCAAGACAAAGUAUUAUGUGACAUGUAUGCAAAUAGUACCUUGGCCAUAAUUUUCUUUAUAAACAAUCCGGCUAUAGCAACUAUAAAUUACAAAAGGAAAACUAUAAUACAGUAGCAAUAGAAAGAACAAGAGUGACAUGUUGGCGGCUGUGCCUUAUUUCAGAAGGUUUGCAUAUACUGAUAUGCCAUUUUAUUUGUGUAAUAAUCAUCUUAAAGCUCUCCAUCCCAGAUAUCCGCGACGGACUUAAAAGGACCAGUAUCAGAAAUAAACAUAUGGCCAAGGCCUGCCCUCCUUUGCGGCAGUGCAGCUAUCUUCUUGGACUCUUCUUCACUCAAUCCCCAUUCAAAUAUUUCAAGAUUCUGCUUUAGUCUCUCUUUGUUGUGAGACUUGGUCACAAUAAUAACUCCUUGCUCAUAAGCCCAUCUUAAAGCAAUCUGGGCCACAGACUUCCCUUUCGACUCUGCAAUUCCCAUCAGAACCUUAGAUUCCAGAACAUCUUUUGUCCCCCAGAAAGCUCCUGCCGCUCCUAGAGGAGAAUAAGCAGCUAUUUUGAUUCCAUUUGCCUGACAAUACUCCCUCAGUUUCCCUUGUUGCCAUGCAGGGUUCAUCUCCACCUUUAUAAACAAUAGACAUCCGAAAGAUUUAGAGCCUGUUUGUGGGGAUUUAAGUCGAGAGCUUAAUGUUGUUUCUAAUUUUAAGCUAAACUAUGUUUAUUUGAGUAAUAACCCUGAAACUGACUUAUAGUCGGAAAGAAGUCACAAACUGACUUAAAACCAGAAAUUAGUUUGAUGUACUUUUUUCAAAAAAAAAAAUUUAAUAUAAAAGUUAACCAUAAGUCAUAAGUUAUCUAUAUAUCACUUUAUUAUUAUUUUUUAUCAUCCAAAUAGACAUUUUAAACUCCCAACUUAUCACGUUGAGUCAUGAUAAGCUAUAAGUUACAAUUUUAACCUGAGACAACCGGGCUCUUAAGUGCAUGAUGGUACCAUGUAUUUGUGCACAAGGAUGAAAUCGACGAGGAAUUUGUGAAUUUAAACUUACUUGAUUGAUUGCAGGAGGAAUCUUAGCAAAUGCCAGAAUAUCAGCAAUUUUCUUGCAAGUGAAAUUACUGACACCAAUAGAUUUUGCAAGGCCAAGUGUUUGGCACUCCUCCAUGGCCGUCCAAACAGAUUUAAUAUCCAUCGGAACAAAAUCUUCAGGGUUCAGGCGGAAAGGGUUUGAUCCAGCCUUCAUGCUCAUUGGAAAAUGUAUAAGGUACUGAUCAACAUAGUCCAACUUCAUAUCCCUAUCCAACAAUCAAUAUUAAUAAAAUUAAGGGCCACACAGAUCUUUUGUUCAAAAAUUGAAAAAAAAUAGUGUGUAAAAGUAGUACCGCAAACUCUUUUGAAGGGCAGGAAGGACACAAUCACCAUAAUUAUCAUUCAACCAAAUCUUAGACGUAAUGAAGAGUUCAUCGCGGGACUUGAUCAAACCACAACUGAUAGAUUGAGAUAUCGCUUCACCAAGAGCUUCUUCUGUUCUGUAAAAAGAAGCAGUAUCAAACAUCCUGUAACCAAGCUCAAUUGCUUCAAGCACUGCUUUUAUCAUACUAGUCAAAAAUUCUGGAGUUGGAUCCAAAGUUCCUAAGCCCGGUCCCAAAACUGGCAUAGCUUUUGCAUUUCCAGAGCUCAGAAUAAUUUCUGGAAUAGCCAUCUUUGUUUACUAGCUAGCUGCUAUUCACUUGGACCAGUUUAGUAUGUAUGUGAAUUUUGUUUGAUUGUCUUGAAUGAUCAACUACACCAGAUAUAGUAAUUUACAUGUAAUCAUCGAUCUUGUUUUAUUUUGUUUUAUCUUAUCAUGCAGAUAUCGAGUAUAUUGUUUAAAACAGAGGCAUUGACCGGAUAAAUAUAAAAAUAAAAGAUACUGUUGAGCACUAAUUGAGCCAAUUUAUAUAUGAAUAUCAUUAUUUCAAAUAUGUAUAUGAAUUUUACCAUUUCAAUGAUAUAGAUUCUUAUUUAUAGGUAUUGAUAAAUUCUGAUUGCAUUUGUCGAAUUUGUCCCGGCUGGAUUCCGAUGAGUGAAUCAUAUUAAAACACAAUACUUUGUUGAGCCAUUCUCAGUUGUUACUACCUUCCAGGCAUCUUUGGCCAAGCUAACUAUAUAUGGCUGUUAUAGUUAACAUGAUUUAACCCUUUCUCUGUUUGAUGUUAUUUAACCAUAUUAUCACCUGCUCCUUAGAUAAUACUCACAGAUGAGUCUAAAGUAAUGUCAAAUAUGUACCUUUCAAGAAAUUUUUAAAAAACAGACAAGAAUACUAUAUAUCCCCCUUGUUGUUUAGCCUAGUCUAUGAUUUGAUCUGGACUGAUCCUUGGAGGAAUCUUCGCAAGAGCCAGGUUUCGUAAAUUUAAUUGUGUGUUUGCCUGUCUGGCACUCUUUCAUGUCUGUCUAAACAUCUAAACAUCACAUUAUCUUGAAAAUGUUUAAGAUACUGAACAAGAUACUCCGACUAUAUUUUUCUGAGCAAUGUGAAUAAAGGCGUGGCGUUUGUAGCACUGUAGAGUCUUCAGAAGGGUGGGAGGACAUUAUUGCCAUGUUUAUCACUGCACCAGAGCUUAGUGGUGAUGAAGGCUUCACGCGAAACUAACUAAACCUAGACUAAUAACUUAGAAAAUUUUAAAAGUAGGAUGAGUAGUAAUAUUUAAAUAACAGAGCAUCUACUUGGUCCUUAACAAAUUUAUCUUAAGUAAUUAGGACUUUUCUUAAAGUGAGGGUUAAUGACAAUUUGAUGUAACUUUUCUCUUCGGGUUAAUAUAAACGAAGGCGUAGAUGGGAGACAGUGAUGUUCAAUGAAAUUUAUUAGUGUUGCACCUGUAUCUGCUGAAGUGAACAUAUUUCUCUAUUAGCUGGUCAAGAAUAUUUUUCUAUGAUAUAUCUGAUUUUGACCAAGAUGCAAAGAAUUCUUUUUGCUAAAUUCUGUUAUUAGGCAGUUUUGGACAACAACUUGGUAGAUUCUUCAUAGCUGCUAUAUUCCAGUCACGCGAAUAUGCUUCAAAUUGUUGGCUUUAAAUCUGGAAAUCUUACAGUAGAAUCGCUGUAAUAGUUUCUGCUGCAUUACACAAAAACGCGGGAAAUAAGCUAUCAUCACCUACAUUAUAUUGGUCAUGUACUGUAAAUUUCUGAACUUCUGAACUCUAAAGAUUUCAGACAAAUUAUGAAUACUAGAACUAGUUCCAGUUGCAGCAAAUAAAGAUGAGACCGACAUCAAAACAGCCUUGCAGGAUAUCCUGAUCUGAGUAUAUUGUUUAAAACAGAGGCAUUGACCAGAUAAAUAUAAAAAGAGUUAAUUGCAAAAUGCACCCCAUAACUUCGGCCCAAACGCACUUCAGUCAACAUACUUUUAUUAUUUGCAUUGUGCAUCCCCCUGGUAAAUAUAGCGCUGCAAAAUGCACCUUUUCCGUCCAAGUCCGUUAAGUGUGAGAGAUUAACUCAUUUUAACGUUAGUUGUCAGGGGAUUAAGUGAGGGGCAUAAUAGGAAUUUCAUUUUUAAAAGACCUUCUCCCCCAAAUCAGCUAUAUAUGUCAUUAAAAAGCAUAUUUUAGCCCUAAACAAAUAACAUCAUCUUCUUCUCUUUUUCAGAAACGAUGGCAGAGCAUUGUGGGUGUGGGAACGUCAUUGUAGUGAGAACAUCAUGGACUGAUUCAAAUCCUGGCCGGCGUUUCAUAUCUUGCGAUCGUUGUCGCUAUUUCCGGUGGAUUGAUGCCCCAUUAUGUGAGCGUGCAAGAAUCAUCAUCCCAGGCUUGUUAUGCAAAAUCAACACUCUUGAAGCACAAGUAAAUCGAGCUGCUGGUGAUGGUUUGGUUAUGGGGAUGAGUGAAGGGGACGUAUGUUCUAGCCAAAAAGAAGUGAAGCCAGUGGAGUCAAUUUGUGGUUGCAAAACAUCACUGAGUUUACUAAUUUUGACUUGGAUUGUGAUAUUUAUUUAUUGUUUGUGCAAGGUAGAAGAGGCAGGAGAGAUUUGAUAUAGGCAUGUAGCAGAUGUAGCAUGAACCUGUGUAAUUUGUAUGUUUAAAGCAAGUUGUAAUGAAUGGUGUUUAUUGUUGGUUUGAAUGAAUGUUUCCAACCAACCGAAAUGAAUGUACCAACGUAGACAGAUGUAGAGAAUAAAUGCUAGAAAACAAGAAAUUUUGAAUAGAUUAAAAACUGUCAAAACCAAGACAGAUGGUAGCAUAAAUGCAGUGAUUAUCUUACAAAAGAGAUUGCCAAAUCUUAGUCAUAAUACAAGUACGAAAUAUUAGUCUCGAAAUCAAGUACCAAAUUCAAGCACAAAAGAGACAUACGAAGUACCAAAUCUUAGUCUUAAUACAAGUAGAUAAAUUAUUGUCUUAGCCACUUCAAGACCAUAUUACUUCUUCCCCUUCCUCAAUGCAGCUUGUAGUUGUCCAAGAGUUGCAUAGUUCUUCCCAUCCUUCUGAAAAUAUUCCACCCCUGAAGGUCCUGAUUGAGCUGGUGCUUUAAAGGGCUUUACAAUUCCUCCGUGUGUUGCAACUGGCUUUGCAAACUGAAAAGGGGUUGAUCUGGGAUGGAGCCCUGCAGUUCCCUUGGUUCUUGGUGACUUUGUUGGUGAAGGAUUGGGAUGAUUUUGUGCAUACAAUUCAUUCUGAGCUCUUUGAAGCUCUGCCAGUUUUUGCUGCAAUUCCUCUUCACUCUGUUGAGUCUCUUCUUCCUUCCUUUUUCUGUCUUCAUCCACUUUCUGCAGAAGAGCAAGAAGUUGUAAAAAAACAAUGAAGAGAUACAUACGAAAGACCAAUUAGUUGUACAAAUUUCACCUUAGAAGUGCAAGUUCUUAAGUUGUGUCCUUGUUCCUUGCAGUAGGAACACCUUGUUCUUGGAGGUUCCCACUUCUUGCUGCCUCCUUCCUGUUCUUCUCCCCCUUCUGGAGGUGCUUGUUUCUGUGUACAUAAAAGGUUGAUAUUAGUGUUGUUGGGUGAAGGGUGUCCACAUAUUAAGAGUUAAAUGGAUAGACAAUACCUUUAGUGGACAGCCUCUAACACACCUUCUGCCUGUCUGAGAUGAAGGUAUAAGUUCCCGUAUUCUCUAUCCCCAAGUCAUCCUUUAAUAAACCAAGGAACCAGUCCCAACUACUUGAGUUUUCAGCUUCAACUUGGGCCCAAGCAAUCGGAUACAUACCCUCAUUAGGAUCCGUACCAACUGCAGUGAGCAAGAUGCCUCCAAAAGGUCCUUUUAGAUGACAUCCAUCUAACCCUAUUAAGGGUCUGCAUCCAUCUUUGAAACCUUCUUUUAAAGGUCCUAAACAUACAUAGAACCUUUUAAAUCUCCUCCCCUCAACACCUUGUUCAGCUGGCUCUGUCAUUACCUUGACAGUUGAUGUUGGCAUCACCUUCUUGACUUCAUUAGCAUACUGAUACAACAUCUUAAACUCUUCCUCAUGUUUUCCAAUGAUAUUAGCCUUGGCCUUCCUCAAUGCUCUAUAAAUCAUAUGCUCUGAAACAUGACACUUCAAGUCAUUUACCACUUUUGCCUGAAAUGCUGCUACAGCCCACUGAGGGUUCAUCCUGAUUUCAUGCUCAUAAGCUGCUGCUAUCCAUGUCGAAUUAAUUUGUUUUUGGACCCAAGUAGGGUUGCAUGUGUGUGUUGUAUGCAAAGUCUUGAUUUGGAUAUUGCUGGACCUUUGUUGCCUGAUUCCAUAACAUUUCCACUUGCAGCCCCUUUGACAGAUCCACUUAAUUUUAUCACCUAAAUUUUUCCUUAAUUUUACCCCUCUCUGGUGCAGAAUGGCAUGUUUCCUCACAGCUUCUCUGAAUGCUUUGCCACUGCUGAAUAACAUCCCCAUUUCGAACUGGGGAUCCUCCAUGUCUGUAAGUUCAUUGAAUUCAGGGUAUUUUUCCCCUUGCUCAUCACAUGAAGAUAUGGCCAUCCUCUCUACCUCACUGUCAUAAGUAGUUUGUGAGGAUUCACUAGCAUCAUCUGGGGCAUAUUCUUCAUCAUCUGAUCCAUCAUUAACUUUCUUCUUAACACCUUCAUCUGCAUUUGCAUCCUUAACAUCUUUAUUCUCCUCAAAAUUCUCCUCAAAAUUCUCCUCAAAAUCUUCCUCAAAAUCUUCCUCCAAAUUCUCCUCAACUGGAGAUUGAACUGCAUCUUCAACAUUUUGAACAUUUUCUUCAUUGGCAGGCUGAUCUUUCUCCUCAGCUUGUACUUGUUCAUGCACAUCUUGUACAUCUUCAUUGCCAGGCUGAUCUUUUUCCUCAACUUGCACAUCUUCAACUGUUUUUCUCUUCCUCUUUCCCUUGGACUNGACUUACCAACAGAUUUACACUUCUUUCUCUUGGACUUACCAACUGGUUGAUCCUCUACUAGCUUCUUCUUUCCUUUGUCUGGGCACUUCUCCUCAACUUUCUUCUUUUUUCCCUUGGCAGGACACUUGUCACCACCCUGAACCAUUUCCUCACUUUCAGCACCAUCUAUUAUCACAGGAGUCUCAGGUGUGUUCUUGAAAAGACCCCUCAACAUGGAAUAUCUGCCCCUCUUCCUAGCCCUGUAAGGUGGAUUUGGAGGUGGAAUUCUCCUAGGCUUCUUCUUAGUUUUAGGGCAAUCACUUUCACUUGAGUCCAUGUUUGAACUAUCUCCAUGGAAGCUUUUUUCCUCAUCUUCUGCAGAACCCUCUUCUUCUAUAUCAUUCAACUUCUCCUCCACUUCAACCCUAAUAUCCUCUAUCCUCUCAAUUCUUUGAUCAAUUGCCAUUUGUGUAUAAGAAAAAUCCCAUCCUUCACCAUCAUAGGCUGGCAUGUUUGAGGAAACAUACAGCCUUAUCAAUUUGUAGUUGCACUCAACCAAAGAAGAUAGGAUACUAAUGUCUCUCUCAGUCUCCAGGGGUGAUAAAUUUUCAGGGGUGAAUUCAGCUUCAUCACACAAAAACCAAAGGUCCACCUUUUCCCCAACUAAACCUACUUCUGCAAUCAUGGCCUCCAUUUCAUGUAAAUUUAGACCCACGACAGAGCACAUAUCAAAAUAAGCUAUCUUCCCACCCACAUAACCAGUAAUGUCUUCAUUGACAUGCCCACCAUAGUGUAAUUUAAGAGUAAAAUGUAAGCUCAUAUCUGCAUAAAAAAUUACAAGUUGGAGCGACAAUAAAGCACAUUUACACAUAAAAAAGGCAGCAAUGAAGAGAAUAUUCUCACAAAAGCAUCACUUUUUACAACAAAUGGACCACAAUUACAAAAUGCAGCAGUUAAACGAUUAGCACAUGGUAUGUUUUCAGAAAUGUAAACAUCAUGGGUCCACAACUUCCUAAUUAAACCCUAAUUACUUAAAGCACACAUCAGAUAUAGUAUAAAAGAAUCUAAAUGGGGCCAACAAAUCUAAUUAAACCCUAAUUUGUAUGCAUGCUACUUAAAAGGGGGGAUUGACGAUAUUCACAUGCAGAUAUACAGCCUCGAAAAAGGAAGAAAUUUACCUUCAUAGUCGGGGAUUUCUUUCCCAUUUGGCAGCAGAGAAACGUCGCCUUCAUCGGCGCCUUGACUUUUGCUUUCAUCCGAACAACUCCUUAAUCUGCCUCUCAUGAUUGUUGGUUACCGAGUAAUUACGGUUUAUUAGCACUAAUUUAGGGUUACUUGGUAGUCGAUUUAGGGUUUACAGGGUUUACAGAGGGGAGAGGGAAAGAUGAAGGGAGUGUGUGUGUUAGAUUGAAAAAUGCGCGGGGCUUAGUGUUUAUUACAUUUAGAUUAAGAUCUCUUAAUCUCUUUUAAUUAAACGGGGUUUACUGUUUUUAAAUUUUAAUUGCCGAUUACCAUUUAAUUGUUAACGGUCCGUUUUUUUUGGACGGAAAAGGUGCAUUUUGCAGCGCUAUAUUUACCAGGGGGAUGCACAAUGCAAAUAAUAAAAGUAUGUUGACUGAAGUGCGUUUGGGCCGAAGUUAUGGGGUGCAUUUUGCAAUUAACUCAUAUAAAAAUAAAAGACACUUAAUUGAGGCAAUUUAUAUAUUAAUAUCAUUAUUUCGAAUAUGUAUAUGAAUUUUACCAUUGCAAUGAUAUAGAUUCUUAUUUAUAGUUAUGAUAAAUUCUGAUUGCAUUUGUCGAAUGUACUAUCACAUCAUUUAUUCUCAUGUAAAAAUGUAUUUUUCAUUUUUUUGAGAUAAUUAAUAAUUUUGUAAAGAUUUGCAGGUGUACAGCAUAUAUAUUUAUACUGUAAAGAUGAAAUCUGUAUAGUAGAUUUUUACACCUCAAAUGCAUAAAGUCAAGCGACUAUUAAUAGAGGGAGUAUUUGUUGAAGAGUACUAAGUUUAUGUUGGGGCAUCUACCACCUCAUGGUUUAAGAUUGACGGGUUACUUAACAUAAUAUCAAAGUUCAGUUUAAAUUGUUUAGUGUCUACAAUUAUACGAUUGAGAGGAAGUGUUGCUUAGCAGAAUUAAAAAAAAAAAAAUUUAAACUCAGAACUGUAUCCUAAAUCUUCUACGGGUCAGUUCUGCCAUGUCUAUGUGUACAAGAUGGUAGCCAGAAUAUGCUGCAAAUAUGUGGAAUGGAGCUUUAGGUAAGAGGCUCAGCCCUCAGGAGUCUGGUCUAAGGUGUCUGGACAGUUAUACACAGAGGACUUCAUUGUAUUAGUUAUAAAUUUCUGGUAUUGGAUCAAAAGCUCCUAAUCCCAGUCCCAGAACUGGCAUAGGUUUCGCAUCCCCAGAGCUCAAACAAAUUUCUGGAAUAGCCCUCUUAAAAUUUCUGUGCAACUUUAGUAUGUACUUAAGAGUUUAUUUGAUUGCANNNNNNNNNNNNNNNNNNNNNNNNNNNNNNNNNNNNNNNNNNNNNNNNNNNNNNNNNNNNNNNNNNNNNNNNNNNNNNNNNNNNNNNNNNNNNNNNNNNNNNNNNNNNNNNNNNNNNNNNNNNNNNNNNNNNNNNNNNNNNNNNNNNNNNNNNNNNNNNNNNNNNNNNNNNNNNNNNNNNNNNNNNNNNNNNNNNNNNNNNNNNNNNNNNNNNNNNNNNNNNNNNNNNNNNNNNNNNNNNNNNNNNNNNNNNNNNNNNNNNNNNNNNNNNNNNNNNNNNNNNNNNNNNNNNNNNNNNNNNNNNNNNNNNNNNNNNNNNNNNNNNNNNNNNNNNNNNNNNNNNNNNNNNNNNNNNNNNNNNNNNNNNNNNNNNNNNNNNNNNNNNNNNNNNNNNNNNNNNNNNNNNNNNNNNNNNNNNNNNNNNNNNNNNNNNNNNNNNNNNNNNNNNNNNNNNNNNNNNNNNNNNNNNNNNNNNNNNNNNNNNNNNNNNNNNNNNNNNNNNNNNNNNNNNNNNNNNNNNNNNNNNNNNNNNNNNNNNNNNNNNNNNNNNNNNNNNNNNNNNNNNNNNNNNNNNNNNNNNNNNNNNNNNNNNNNNNNNNNNNNNNNNNNNNNNNNNNNNNNNNNNNNNNNNNNNNNNNNNNNNNNNNNNNNNNNNNNNNNNNNNNNNNNNNNNNNNNNNNNNNNNNNNNNNNNNNNNNNNNNNNNNNNNNNNNNNNNNNNNNNNNNNNNNNNNNNNNNNNNNNNNNNNNNNNNACUUUUUACCACAAAUGGACCACAAUUAGAAAAUGCAGCAGUUAAAUGAGUAGCACAUGGUAUGUUUUCAGAAAUGUAAACAUAAUGGGUCCACAACUUCCUAAUUAAACCCUAAUUACUUAAAGCACACAUCAAAUAUAGUAUAAAGGAAUCUAAAUGGGGCCAACAAAUCUAAUUAAACCCUAAUUUGUAUGCAUGCUACUUAAAAGGGGGGAUUGACGAUAUUCACAUGCAGAUAUACAGCCUCGAAAAAGGAAGAAAUUUACCUUCAUAGUCGGGGAUUUCUUUCCCAUUUGGCAGCAGAGAAACGUCGCCUUCAUCGGCGCCUUGACUUUUGCUUUCAUCCGAACAACUCCUUAAUCUGCCUCUCAUGAUUGUUGGUUACCGAGUAAUUACGGUUUAUUAGCACUAAUUUAGGGUUACUUGGUAGUCGAUUUAGGGUUUACAGGGUUUACAGAGGGGAGAGGGAAAGAUGAAGGGAGUGUGUGUGUUAGAUUGAAAAAUGCGCGGGGCUUAGUGUUUAUUACAUUUAGAUUAAGAUCUCUUAAUCUCUUUUAAUUAAACGGGGUUUACUGUUUUUAAAUUUUAAUUGCCGAUUACCAUUUAAUUGUUAACGGUCCGUUUUUUUUGGACGGAAAAGGUGCAUUUUGCAGCGCUAUAUUUACCAGGGGGAUGCACAAUGCAAAUAAUAAAAGUAUGUUGACUGAAGUGCGUUUGGGCCGAAGUUAUGGGGUGCAUUUUGCAAUUAACUCAUAUAAAAAUAAAAGACACUUAAUUGAGGCAAUUUAUAUAUUAAUAUCAUUAUUUCGAAUAUGUAUAUGAAUUUUACCAUUGCAAUGAUAUAGAUUCUUAUUUAUAGUUAUGAUAAAUUCUGAUUGCAUUUGUCGAAUGUACUAUCACAUCAUUUAUUCUCAUGUAAAAAUGUAUUUUUCAUUUUUUUGAGAUAAUUAAUAAUUUUGUAAAGAUUUGCAGGUGUACAGCAUAUAUAUUUAUACUGUAAAGAUGAAAUCUGUAUAGUAGAUUUUUACACCUCAAAUGCAUAAAGUCAAGCGACUAUUAAUAGAGGGAGUAUUUGUUGAAGAGUACUAAGUUUAUGUUGGGGCAUCUACCACCUCAUGGUUUAAGAUUGACGGGUUACUUAACAUAAUAUCAAAGUUCAGUUUAAAUUGUUUAGUGUCUACAAUUAUACGAUUGAGAGGAAGUGUUGCUUAGCAGAAUUAAAAAAAAAAAAAUUUAAACUCAGAACUGUAUCCUAAAUCUUCUACGGGUCAGUUCUGCCAUGUCUAUGUGUACAAGAUGGUAGCCAGAAUAUGCUGCAAAUAUGUGGAAUGGAGCUUUAGGUAAGAGGCUCAGCCCUCAGGAGUCUGGUCUAAGGUGUCCGGACAGUUAUACACAGAGGACUUCAUUGUAUUAGUUAUAAAUUUCUGGUAUUGGAUCAAAAGCUCCUAAUCCCAGUCCCAGAACUGGCAUAGGUUUCGCAUCCCCAGAGCUCAAACAAAUUUCUGGAAUAGCCCUCUUAAAAUUUCUGUGCAACUUUAGUAUGUACUUAAGAGUUUAUUUGAUUGCAGUGAAGAACAGAACUAUAAUAACAGAAUUUGCAGAUUAUUCAUAAGCCCAUCUCAAAGCCACCUGGGCUACAGAUUUUCCUUUCGACUGUGCAAUUUCAUUCAAUACUUCAGAUUCCAGCACUCCUUUGGUUCCCCAAAAGGCUCCUGCUGCUCCAAGAGGAGAAAACGCCGCUAUCUUGAUUCCCUUUGCCUGGCAGAACUCCUUUAACUUCCCUUGUUGCCAUGCUGGAUUCAUCUCCACCUAUCACCACAAUUAGAUCAGGAUUCACUUUUGUUUUUUUAAGUUACACAUGCUAUGAUGUGAAUAUUUACUGAACUAACUUGAACAAUUGCUGGAGGAAUCUUAGCAAAAGCCAGAAUAUCAGCAACCUUCUUGGAAGAGAAAUUGCUCACACCAAUAGAUUUUGUAAGGCCGAGUGUUUGGCACUCUUCCAUAGCUGUCCAGACCGAUUUGAUGUCCAGUGGAAGAACAUCUUCUGGCUUUAAUUGUAAUAUGUUUGUGUCGGGCUUCAGGCUCACUGGCCAAUGAAUAAGAUACUGAUCAAGAUACUCCAACUUCAUAUUCCUGACAAUAAAAAAUAAAAUAUGAAUUGACAUUACGAUUUCUUGUUUCCUAAUAAGAAAAAUGAAUGAGCGGUCAUUUAUAUUACUCUAGUGUCUUCUGGAGAGCAGGGAGGAUACGAUCUGCAUGAGUAUCAUUGCACCAUACCUUAGAGGUAAGAAAGACUUCAUCGCGAGACUUGAUCAAACCAAGACUAACUGCUUGACAUAUAGCUUCACCAACAGCUUCCUCCGUUUGGUAAAAGGAAGCGGUAUCAAACAUCCUAUAACCAAGCUCAAUUGCUUCAAGCACCGCUUUUAUCACUGCUUCUGGCGGUGCAGGGGGAUAACCACCUGCAUAUGCUACAAAUAUGCACUAGCCAGCAUAUGCUGCAAAUAUGUGGAAUGGAGCUUUAGGUAAGAGGCUCAGCCCUCAAAUAUGAUCACUUGGUAAGCAUUGUAUGAUUGAAAGUGCUUGUAUUGUUACCAGAAAUAUCAGGAAUGAGGCUGAGUUGAGCAACUACAGAUUACCGAACGAAAAUAUAAAAUACAUUAUCACUAGAAAAAAACAGGAUUGACAAAUUGGCCGAUGUGCCUUAUUUCAGAUGGUUCACCUAUACUAUUAUAUUUAUGACAUAAAUAUCCUUAAAGUUCUCCAUCCCAGAGCUCCUCGAGUGUCUUGAACGGGCCAGUUUCAGAGAUAAAGAACUCCGCAAGGUUUGCCCUCCUCUGCGGUAUUGCAGCAAUCUUCUUGGACUCUUCAUCGCUCAACUCCCACCCAAAAAUUUCAAGAUUCUGUUUUAGUCUCUCUUUGUUGAAGCUCUUCAUCACAAUAACAAUCCCUUGCUCAUAAGCCCAUCUCAAGGCAAUCUGGGCUACAGACUUACCUUUCGACUUUGCAAUUUCAAUCAGAACCUCGGAUUCCAACACUCCUUUCGUCCCCCAAAAAGCUCCUGCUGCUCCUAGAGGAGAAUAAGCAGCAACCUUGAUUCCAUUUGCCUGACAGAAGGCCCUCAAUUUCCCUUGUUGCCAUGCUGGGUUCAAUUCCACCUUCGUACAUAAAUAGAUUAGUACAUAGUUUUUCGAUGUUAAUAGAGUAGUAGUUUACUAUUAAUUUGUAGUUUGGGAAUGCAAGCUUACUUGAUUGAUAGCAGGAGGAAUCUUGGCAAAAGCCAAAAUAUCAGCAAGCUUCUUGCAACUGAAAUUACUGACACCGAUUGAUUUUGUAAGGCCAAGGCUUUGGCACUCUUCCAUAGCUGUCCAAACAGAUUUGAUGUCGAUUGCAACAGUAUCCUCAGGGUUAAGUCGAAAAAGAUCUGAUCCAGCCUUCAUGCUCACCGGAAAAUGUAUAAGAUACUGAUCAAGAUAGUCCAACUUCAUAUCCCUGUCCAACAAUAAAUAAGAAAUAACUAUUAGAAUAUAAUGAUCCUCGUGAAAAGCUUUUCCCUAACACCUCGUAAAAGUUAUCUUAUUACCUCAAACUCUUUUGAAGGGCAGGAAGGACUCGAUCACCAUAAUUAUCAUGCAACCAGAGCUUUGAGGUAAUAAAAAGCUCAUCGCGGGACUUGAUUAAGCCACGACUAAUAGCUUGAGCUAUUGCUUCACCAAGAGCUUCCUCUGUUUGGUAAAAAGCAGCAGUAUCAAACAUCCUGUAGCCAAGCUCAAUCGCGUCAAGCACAGCUUUCUUUGUAUUAGUUAUAACUUCUGGUGUCGGAUCAGAAGCUCCUAAUCCAAGUCCUAGAACUGGCAUAGGUUUUGCAUUUCCGGAGCUCAAACAAAUUUCUGGAAUAGCCAUCUUUUACUUAUAAUUUCUGGACAACUUAG
rnacentral:lncRNA from 1 species